AAUCCAAUGGGCUGCUGACUGCUAACCAGCUCCACAGAGAUCUGGAACAAAGGCUUUAUUCUAGGGAACCUCAUCUGUGCAAGACGAGGCCUGGGAUGAAGACCACAGCCCCUUCUAACCCAACCUCUCACUCCUUUUCUGGGACCUGCCCUGCUCCGGCCGCCCCGCCCCAGCAGGAAGUCCCCCCGGGAGGGGACCCGAGACCCGCGCUGGGCGGGGAAAGCACCUGGGGCUCUCGCUGGAUUUCUGCACCUGAAGCCCCGAAGAUUCGGCUUCUACGCGGCCACGGGGAAGGAGUGCAGGGGCGACAGAACCAGGCGCUUUGUUUAAACACGGCGAAAGACAUUCACCGGGGCCUCCAGUCACUUCUCACUGAAGUGAACAGACCCGGCACCCAGGAUUUGCUGAGAACAGCCAACCGGUUCUUUGGAGAAAAGUCUUGGGAAUUCCUCUCUUUUCCUCCACAGGCAUCCUCUGAACUACAAUAUUCCUGCAAAGAGUCCAGGACUGGAAAUAUUUCUUCAGAAGACAAAAAAAGGGCACUGGAGACCACGGCCCUGACAGUGACCUACCAGAAAUGAGGGAGGGACAAUCCAGCUCCUGAUUGCAUCACCACGCUUAUUAUAUCUUCCUUAAUUUCUUCCUAUUCUCUCCUUCUCUACGUGUAUGGAUAACCUCAUGGGGUUUCUCCUGACAAUUCAGGGACUUCUUAACCACGUUGCCCUAUCUGGCCAGGAGACUCCACAGUCAGGACACACUCUAGCCGGAACAACACAACGAUAUCCUAAUAAAACUAACUGCUAGAUGUGCAUAAACUCCCGGACAACUCCAGGUCCUGCCAAGCUGUGGGCAACCACUCCGGUGGGCCUUCGCCUAAGGAGCCAACCACUGCACAUCUCACAAGGAUAUGAGUCUGUGACUAAGGUGCUUCAAGCCCUCCACUCUCUUUUUCCUGCCUCUGUGGGCAUAGAUCCUGCCCCGGUGGAAGAGCGUGUCUUCACUAAAGUUACACUCACUCCUGAUGCCACCUACCCUAUCUGUGUCCUGUCCCACGCGACAGGGGGCACCCCAGGGGGAGGUCUUCACCCAUCUCUCUGUGAACAUAAACUCUGGGUAAACUCAUCUACAGACUACCCCCCACUCGUGGGUACAAGCUACCGGAAUGCUCUGUAUCUUCUGGACCAAAGAAAUUAGUCGGUAUAAACAGACCUCAGAACCUAACUCUCCUCAGUCCUAACCCGGAAGCUAAAACUUUUCUGUUCUGGACGCCCUGUCGGGUGCCGCAAACCUUAAUAGUGGGAGCCCAGGGAACACGCAAGCAUCUUAAGUUCUCUUCAUCCACUAAUAACACAAUCUUCUUUGACUCAGUUUUAGAAAACACUUCGCCAAAUAAAUCACAAAAAAAUCAUAACUGCACAAACCUUCUAAUGACAAUGGCCCCGGUUGCCAGCCGAUACAAAUGACACACGUCUUGUAAACCCCGCUGGACAUGGAACCCACCAGCUCAGGAACCUAGCGUUCUGGCAAAUAUAGAUCAUCAUGCCACGCGUCCCCGCACAGCGGCCUGAUUUCCCCCAGCCAGGACAGGUCUUUGCUCCUUGGGAUUUGUUACACCGCAUAUUAGCAAUGCAGGGCAUGCCUGGUGGGUCAAGGGGUAAAGACCCAGCACUAUGGAGCUAUCUGCAGCUGCACCCUGGCCAGGGAGCUACCCACAUGGCACAGCAGACCUCUCCUGUUUCACCCGCUGCUCCCCUCAGCAGUGCGUUUCCAUCAAUCUGCCUGUUCUGUUCCCCACUCCGUCUCUGGUGAAUCCUGUCACCCCCGCACCUCUGGACUACACCCCAGUUCUUGUAUACAUAAUGUAGGGUAAAGAAAUUAUCAGGCUUUUCUGCCCUUCCGCCAUCAGGAUAGAUGAUGGAUCCUUGUCCUGAAUGCAUGCCUGAUGGGGGGCACCUGGAAUAGGGUGUGGGCAUAGGUAGAUGGGAUUCAGCUGGGCUAAGACUGGGCUUUUAAGGGCGGCGUCACGGGGGGACGCCAGCAGCAGCAGUAGCAGCAGCAGCAGCAGCAGCAGCAGCAGCAGCAGCAGCAGCAGCAGCAGCAGAACCUGAAGGAGAAGCUGAAGCAGAAGCAGAGAACGCCAGAGAGCCCAGAUAGAGUGAAGACUUGCUGGGGGCUGGGAUGUCUACCAGCCUCCCAGCCCCCCAGCUAGCACCCCUGCCUGCCAUAUGCCUGGUGAACCCCAAUAAAAGACCUGCAAAACCACUGAGGACUCUGACUCCUCCUUUA